rnacentral:rRNA from 1 species
UCAAACCGGCGUGAGCCAGGUUGGUUUCUAUCCUUAAUUAAUUAAAAUAUUUUAGUACGAAAGGAUUAAAUAUUUAAAAAAUUUUUUUAUUAAAGAAUAAAAUUAAU